rnacentral:rRNA from 1 species
CGCGGCCUAUCAGCUUGUUGGUGAGGUAAUGGCUCACCAAGGCGUCGACGGGUAGCCGGCCUGAGAGGGUGACCGGCCACACUGGGACUGAGACACGGCCCAGACUCCUACGGGAGGCAGCAGUGGGGAAUAUUGCACAAUGGGCGCAAGCCUGAUGCAGCAACGCCGCGUGAGGGAUGACGGCCUUCGGGUUGUAAACCUCUUUUAGCAGGGAAGAAGCGAAAGUGACGGUACCUGCAGAAAAAGCGCCGGCUAACUACGUGCCAGCAGCCGCGGUAAUACGUAGGGCGCAAGCGUUAUCCGGAAUUAUUGGGCGUAAAGAGCUCGUAGGCGGUUUGUCGCGUCUGCUGUGAAAUCCGGAGGCUCAACCUCCGGCCUGCAGUGGGUACGGGCAGACUAGAGUGCGGUAGGGGAGAUUGGAAUUCCUGGUGUAGCGGUGGAAUGCGCAGAUAUCAGGAGGAACACCGAUGGCGAAGGCAGAUCUCUGGGCCGUAACUGACGCUGAGGAGCGGAAGGGUGGGGAGCAAACAGGCUUAGAUACCCUGGUAGUCCACCCCGUAAACGUUAGGAACUAGUUGUGGGGUCCAUUCCACGGAUUCCGUGACGCAGCUAACGCAUUAAGUUCCCCGCCUGGGGAGUACGG